GCUCAGGAUGAACGCUAGCUACAGGCUUAACACAUGCAAGUCGAGGGGUAGCAGGGUAGCAAUACCGCUGACGACCGGCGCACGGGUGAGUAACACGUAUCCAACCUUCCCAUAACUCGGGGAUAGCCUUUCGAAAGAAAGAUUAAUACCCGAUAGUACUUUAUUAAGGCAUCUUAAGAAAGUUAAAGAUUUAUUGGUUAUGGAUGGGGAUGCGUUCCAUUAGAUAGUUGGUGAGGUAACGGCUCACCAAGUCUUCGAUGGAUAGGGGUUCUGAGAGGAAGGUCCCCCACAUUGGUACUGAGACACGGACCAAACUCCUACGGGAGGCAGCAGUGAGGAAUAUUGGUCAAUGGGCGAGAGCCUGA
rnacentral:rRNA from 1 species